rnacentral:rRNA from 1 species
UACGGGGGGGCGGAAGCGUUGUUCGGAAUUACUGGGCGUAAAGGGCUCGUAGGUGGCCAACUAAGUCAGACGUGAAAUCCCUCGGCUUAACCGGGGAACUGCGUCCGAUACUGGAUGGCUUGAGUUCGGGAGAGGGAUGCGGAAUUCCAGGUGUAGCGGUGAAAUGCGUAGAUAUCUGGAGGAACACCGGUGGCGAAGGUGGCAUCCUGGACCGGAUACUACGCUGAGGAGCGAAAGCCAGGGGAGCAAACGGG